UGGUGAGAGCAUAUAUGUCUAUAUGAUGACAUCAAAAACAUAUGUUAAAUUUACAUACAAGCUUCUAUUCAUAUCAAAUUGUUGUUUUUUUACGUUACACCCCCUUCUGUUCUGGUGAACAUGAUGACCACUUCCUCAACCUUUUCAGAUGAGUAUGUGAUUGGACUGAGACUUGAAGUUACAAGUGAAGAAAAUCUGUCAGAGUCUCAGAUUGAAGAGCUUGUGAUUAUACGGUUACAAGAGAAGCUGAUCGAACUAGGACUUCCCAGGAACAUCACCACGCAUUUGAGAAACUAUCGUAAAAUCAGUCCCUGAAAAUGAAGGAAAGCAACUAACAUUUCCAAAUACAAAAUAGUUUACUGUGUCAAUAACUACUGUAAUCUUUUUACCUAAACAACUUUCAAAUUAAUUUCAGUUGUAAAUAAUUAAGUUUUGUUUGGUAUGUUCUGUAUAUUGUCAUUAAUCUGCCUCUCCAUGUCUUUCUUGAUCUUGUGGCAGAGUCAUGGCAAAGCCUUAGGUUAUGUGUGGAGAGAAACACAUUAUUGUCGGUCAUGACAUAAUAUGCGUUCUCUCUGGUCUUGUCUUUGGCCCCGCCCCUCUCAUUCCUCGCUUAGCUUUCCACCCAUGUUUCAUUACCCACACUUGUCCAAUGAUAUCUUCCUUUGUUACUCUUCCUAUUUAAUGCCCUUGUGUUUGCUAUCCUUUGUCAUUCGUUUUGCUAUUUUUGUUAUGCUACCUAGUUAUUUGUCUGUUACCUUGUUUCUUGGAUUACCCUGCCCUGUUGGAGUCCCUUGUCUUAUGUCGUGUGUAUUAUUUAGUCUUAAUCGUUUUAUAGUUCGUUUUGU